rnacentral:tRNA from 1 species
GCUGGUGUGGCUCAGUGGAUAGAGCGUUGGCCUGUGGACUGAAGGGUCCCUGGUUCGAUUCCAGUCAAGGGCA